rnacentral:rRNA from 1 species
UACGGAGGGUGCGAGCGUUGUCCGGAAUCACUGGGCGUAAAGGGCGCGUAGGCGGCCUGGUAAGUAGGGGGUGAAAUCCUGCGGCUUAACCGCAGGGCUGCCUUCUAAACUGUCAGGCUCGAGCACGGUAGAGGCAGAUGGAAUUCCCGGUGUAGCGGUGGAAUGCGUAGAGAUCCGGAAGAACACCGGUGGCGAAGGCGGCCUGCUGGGCAGUAGCUGACGCUGAGGUGCGAAAGCGUGGGGAGCAAACAGG